AGGUGAUGAAACAUUCAAGAUGUAAUAGGAUUUAAGCUCCUCUAAACUUUUUUAAGCUCACUUA
rnacentral:tRNA from 1 species